CAUGCAUGUCUAAGUAUGAACUGCUUUAAGGUGAAACUGCGUACGGCUCAUUACAUCAGCUAUAACUUUCUUUGAUCAUAAAUUCUAAAUGGAAUAACCGAGGAAAAGCCUGGGCUAAUACAUGCGACAAUUCCGGUAGCAAUAUCGGAAUGCUUUUAUUAGAUCAAAACCUUCUAGUUUCUUUAUGGAACUGUUUGUUGGUGACUCUAAAUAACUUUGUGUUGAUCGUAUGACCUUCGUGUCGACGACAUAUCUUUCAAGUGUCUGACUUAUCAACUUUAGACGGUACAUUAUAUGUCUACCGUGGUUGUAACGAGUACAGAGAAUCAGGGUUUGGUUCUGGAGAGGCCGCCUGAGAAACGGCGACCACUUCCAAGGAAGGCAGCAGGCGCGCAAAUUACCCACUCUCAAAACGAGGAGGUAGUGAAGAGAAAUAACGAUGUUAGUCUUUUAUAGGCUGAUAAUCGGAAUGGAAAAACUGUAAAUAGGUUAUUGAAAACUAAAGUUGCUGUGUUUAAAAAGCUCGUAGUGAAUUUCGGGUAUUUGUUGCCAGUUGGUUUUCAUGACCAUAUUGGUUAACAGGUCCUCACUUACUGGACGGCUGGCGAUGAUCUUUAUCGAUUGUUGUCAGUUGCCAGAACGUUUACUUUGAGAAAAUUAGAGUGCUAAAAGCAGGCUCACGCCUAUAUAUAUUCAUGGAAUAAUGAAAUAAGAUCUCGAUUUUAUUUCGUUGGUUUUAGAAAUUGAGAUAAUGAUUAAUAGGAUCAGAGGGGGGCGUACGUACUGUGGUGUGAGAGGUGAAAUUCUUGGAUCGCCACAGGACGAACAGCAGCGAAGGCGUUCGCCAAGAAUGUUUUCAUUAAUCAAGAACGAAAGUUUGAGGUUCGAAGACGAUUAGAUACCGUCCUAGUUCAAACCAUAAACGUUGCCAACUGUCUUUUAGAUGCGGUUAUUUUUAUGACUCAUCUGGCGGAUCUCGAGAAAUCUAAGUUUUUAGGUUCCGGGGGAAGUAUGGUUGCAAAGCUGAAACUUAAAAGAAUUGACGGAAGGACACACAAGAAGUGGAGCCUGUGGCCUAAUUUGACUCAACACGGGAAACCUUACUCGGCCAGGACACUUUUAGGAUUGACAGAUUGAGAGCUCUUUCUUGAUUAGGUGGGUGGUGGUGCAUGGUCGUUCGUAGUUCGUGGAGCGAUUUGUCUGAUUAAUUUCGAUAACGAACGAGACUCCGGCUUACUAAAUAGUCUAAAGUUCGCAGGGACUUUUCAAGACUUCUUAGCAGGAUAAGUGGCACUUUUUAAGCCACACGAAAUGGAGCAAUAACAGGUCUGUGAUGCCCUUAGAUGUCCGAGGCUGCACGCGCGCUACACUGGAGAGUUCAGAAUGUUUCUUCCUACUUCGACAGGAGUGGGUAACCAUGAAAUUCUCUUCGUGACUGGGAUCGGAGCUUGCAAUUAUUCUCCGUCAACGAGGAAUUCCUAGUAAGCACUAUUUCAUCAGAAUGUGCUGAUUAUGUCCCUGUCCUUUGUACACACCGCCCGUCGCUACUACCGAUUGAAUGUUUUAGUGAGAUCUUCGGCUUGGUUUUCCGAGUGGCUUUCGGGUCGCUCGGUAUAUAUCGAAAAGAUGCUCAAACUGGAUCAUUUAGAGGAAGUAAAAGUCGUAAC
rnacentral:rRNA from 1 species